rnacentral:rRNA from 1 species
AACGAACGCUGGCGGCAGGCUUAACACAUGCAAGUCGAACGCACCUUUCGGGGUGAGUGGCCGACGGGUGAGUAACGCGUGGGAAUCUACCCUUCUCUACGGGAUAGCUCCGGGAAACUGGAAUUAAUACCGUAUACGUCCUGAGGGAGAAAGAUUUAUCGGGGAAGGAUGAGCCCGCGUUGGAUUAGCUAGUUGGUGGGGUAAAGGCCUACCAAGGCGACGAUCCAGAGCUGGUCUAAGAGGAUGAUCAGCCACAUUGGGACUGAGACACGGCCCAAACUCCUACGGGAGGCAGCAGUGGGGAAUAUUGGACAAUGGGCGCAAGCCUGGUCCAGCCAUGCCGCGUGAGUGAUGAAGGCCCUAGGGUUGUCACUCUCUUUCAGUGGGGACGAUAAUGACGGUACCCACAGAAGAAGCCCCGGCUAACUUCGUG